CGAGUGAAGCGGUAACAGCUCAAAUUUGAAAUCUGGCCUCACGGUCCGAGUUGUAAUUUGUAGAGGAUGCUUCGAGCAUGGUCUGGCCUAAGUUCCUUGGAACAGGACGUCAUAGAGGGUGAGAAUCCCGUAUGCGGCCAGGUGCCUACGCUCAUGUGAAGCUCCUUCGACGAGUCGAGUUGUUUGGGAAUGCAGCUCAAAAUGGGUGGUAAAUUUCAUCUAAAGCUAAAUAUUGGCCAGAGACCGAUAGCGCACAAGUAGAGUGAUCGAAAGAUGAAAAGCACUUUGGAAAGAGAGUUAAACAGUACGUGAAAUUGUUGAAAGGGAAGCGCUUGCAACCAGACUUGCGCGCGGCCGAUCAUCCGGUGUUCUCACCGGUGCACUCGGCCGUGCUCAGGCCAGCAUCGGUUUUGGCGGCUGGAUAAAGGCCCUAGGAAUGUAGCUCCUCUCGGGGAGUGUUAUAGCCUAGGGUGCAAUGCAGCCUGCUGGGACCGAGGACCGCGCUUCGGCUAGGAUGCUGGCGUAAUGGUUGUAAGCGGCCCGUCUUGAAACACGGACCAAGGAGUCUAACAUCUAUGCGAGUGUUUGGGUGUCAAACCCAUACGCGUAAUGAAAGUGAACGGAGGUGAGAACCCUUAAGGGUGCAUCAUCGACCGGUCCUGAAGUUUACGGAAGGAUCUGAGUAAGAGCAUAGCUGUUGGGACCCGAAAGAUGGUGAACUAUGCCUGAAUAGGGUGAAGCCAGAGGAAACUCUGGUGGAGGCUCGCAGCGGUUCUGACGUGCAAAUCGAUCGUCAAAUUUGGGUAUAGGGGCGAAAGACUAAUCGAACCAUUGACCUGUAGGAACACUACUAGGUGGUUAAGAGGCGGCUAAAAGUGCCGUCUAGUCCCGACGCCGGGGCGACACUGUCAAAUUGCGGGAACAUCCUUAGAGCCUAGACUACCGCAGCCUUCCUGAAAGGGGGGUGCGCACCAGGGUAAUGACCUCGGGUAUGGUAAUAACGUCUAGGAUUGGACAAUCCGCAGCCAAGCCCUACGGACCUCGGUCUAUGGGUGCAGUUCAUCGACUAGAUGGCAGUGGGUGGCAGCAAUGCCGCUUAAGAUAUAGUCAGACCCCCGGGAGACCGGGCGGCAGAACGAAGACCGUGGGGGGCGUCCUCUCUGAGAGCCCCGCGGUCCCGAGUCUGCUGGUGGCGUCGCA
rnacentral:rRNA from 1 species